rnacentral:rRNA from 1 species
UACGAAGGGGGCUAGCGUUGCUCGGAUUGACUGGGCGUAAAGGGCGCGUAGGCGGUUCGUACAGUCAGACGUGAAAUUCCUGGGCUCAACCUGGGGCUGCGUUUGAUACGUGCGGACUUGAGUGCGGAAGAGGGUCGUGGAAUUCCCAGUGUAGAGGUGAAAUUCGUAGAUAUUGGGAAGAACACCGGUGGCGAAGGCGGCGACCUGGUCCGAUACUGACGCUGAGGCGCGAAAGCCAGGGGAGCAAACGGG